rnacentral:RNase_P_RNA from 1 species
CAAGUAGAUCGCCUUAUCGAUCUUAUGCUGAAUUUACUUCAGCACAAGGUAGGAAAGUCCGAACACCAUAGUGCAACAUAGUGGCUAACAGCCACCAGCCUUGAGGUUAGGAAAAGUGCAACAGAAAGUAUGUACAGGUAAUGCUGUAGUGAAACCAGGUAAACUCUAUGUGGUGCAAUGUCAUGUAAACCAACGCUUGAGGGCGGCACGCUCGAUUGUUGGAGGGUAGGCAGCUAAAGUUUGCUGGUAACAGUAAACGCAGAUAAAUGAUAAGGAUCUUUUCUUAAAAAGAAAAGUAUACAGAAUUCGGCUUAUAGAUUUGCUUAGAUA